rnacentral:rRNA from 1 species
AUAAGCUGGCGGCGUGCCUAACACAUGCAAGUCGCACGUCCUGUCUGGUUUCGGCCAGGCAGGGAGUGGCGGACGGGUGAGUAACACGUGGGUGACCUACCCUGUGGUGAGGAAUACCGGCGAGAAAUCGCCGACAAGACCGCAUACGCUCUCGCAAGAGAGCAAAGCUGCUGACGCAAGUCAGUAGCGCCAGAGGAUGGGCCUGCGGCCGAUUAGCUGGUUGGUGAGGUAAGGGCUCACCAAGGCGACGAUCGGUAGCUGGUCUGAGAGGACGAUCAGCCACACUGGGAUUGAGAACGGCCCAGACUCCUACGGGGGGCAGCAGUGAGGAAUUUUCCGCAAUGGAGGCAACUCUGACGGAGCAACGCCGCGUGCAGGACGACGCGUUUCGGCGUGUAAACUGCUUUUCUGGGGGACGAGGACGGACGGUACCCCAGGAAGAAGCCCCGGCUAACUACGUGCCAGCAGCCGCGGUAAUACGUAGGGGGCGAGCGUUGUCCGGAGUUACUGGGCGUAAAGGGCACGCAAGCGGUGCGGCGCGUGUCGCGUGACAACGGGUGGCUUAACUG